AAGAAUUGGACAAAAUGGACUUAGACUUUAGGAUUUUACCCAAGCUAAUGGAGUUGAAGAGCAACUAGGUCUCAUGCCUUUAAAAUGCUUAAAUGUCAAAGAGCAACUAGGCCUCAUGCCUUUAGAAUGCUUAAAGCUUGAAGAUGAACAUUGAAAGGACUAUAUUCUAAACUCCCUCUUGUCCAUUCUUGGAUUGUUUAUAGAACUUCUUGAUGUGUG
rnacentral:lncRNA from 1 species